ACUGUAUAUAAUUCAAUGCCUUGUGUGAGUUAACAGGUUUUUCAUGUUGUUUACUUUGAGUGCAGAGCCAUCAUCAGGUUUUAGGUGGCGAUUUCUGGAAAUUAUCAUUGCAUUUUUGAUUGGUGCAGUUCUUUCAUCAGGUGUUUGCUUUUUGGCAAAAAAGUGCUUCAGGAAAGAAAUGAAGAGUUCCGGACAUUUGAAUGAUACUUUUGUGAUGCUGACACGUCCAGAUGAUCCGCUGAUAUAUGAUGGUCAAGCAUUACAAAACAACCAGACCCUGAACUCAAACAGUGGGACAAACGAAGUGGAAUAUGCCACCAUUGAUUUUUCCCUGUUAAAAACGAAGGCAGCAAGGACGCGAGAAAGCACAAAGACGGAGUACGCUGAAAUCAAGAGGAUAAUAAAAAAAGAACAAGUAGAUGAUGGUGGAGACGACGGUAAAAUGUUGGAGGGGGAGAUGAAACACUGUGAA
rnacentral:lncRNA from 1 species